rnacentral:rRNA from 1 species
GACGAACGCUGGCGGCGUGCUUAACACAUGCAAGUCGAACGGAAAGGCCUGCUUUCCCUUGUGGAUUGCGGGUACUCGAGUGGCGAACGGGUGAGUAACACGUGAGUGAUCUGCCCCCAACUUGGGUAUAAGCCUGGGAAACUGGGUCUAAUUCCCGAUAGGACUGCAGGGUGGUGCCUGUGGUGGAAAACGAUUUUCUAGUGGUUGGGGAUGAGCUCGCGGCCUAUCAGCUUGUUGGUGGGGUAAUGGCCUACCAAGGCGGCGACGGGUAGCCGGCCUGGGAGGGUGGACGGCCACAUUGGGACUGAGAUACGGCCCAGACUCCUACGGGAGGCAGCAGUGGGGAAUAUUGCACAAUGGGCGGAAGCCUGAUGCAGCGACGCCGCGUGGGGGAUGACGGCCUUCGGGUUGUAGACUCCUUUCGACCGCGAGGAAGCCACCUGGUUGGAAGGGUGGUGACGGUAGUGGUAGAAGAAGCACCGGCUAACUACGUG